UACAGAGGGUGCGAGCGUUGUUCGGAAUUACUGGGCGUAAAGCGCGCGCAGGCGGCCUUUUAAGUCUGACGGUGAAAUGCCGGGGCUCAACCCCGUGCCCGCCGGAGAUACUGGGAGGCUGGAGACGAGUAGAGGCAAGCGGAAUUCCGGGUGUAGCGGUGGAAUGCGUAGAGAUCCGGAAGAACACCGGAGGCGAAGGCGGCUUGCUGGGCUCGGUCUGACGCUGAGGCGCGAAAGCGUGGGGAGCAAACAGGG
rnacentral:rRNA from 1 species